ACGCUCGACACCUACGAGGCAGCAGUGAGGAAUAUUGGUCAAUGAGCGCUAGCCUGAACCAGCCAAGUAGCGUGAAGGAUGAAGGCUCUAUGGGUCGUAAACUUCUUUUAUAUAAGAAUAAAGUGCAGUAUGUAUACUGUUUUGUAUGUAUUAUAUGAAUAAGGAUCGGCUAACUCCGUGCCAGCAGCCACGGUAAUCUGAGCGGGCUGGCAAGGC
rnacentral:rRNA from 1 species